rnacentral:rRNA from 1 species
AUUGAACGCUGGCGGCAGGCCUAACACAUGCAAGUCGAGCGGAUGAGGGGAGCUUGCUUCCUGAUUCAGCGGCGGACGGGUGAGUAAUGCCUAGGAAUCUGCCCGAUAGUGGGGGACAACGUUUCGAAAGGAACGCUAAUACCGCAUACGUCCUACGGGAGAAAGUGGGGGAUCUUCGGACCUCACGGUAUCGGAUGAGCCUAGGUCGGAUUAGCUAGUUGGUGGGGUAAAGGCUCACCAAGGCGACGAUCCGUAACUGGUCUGAGAGGAUGAUCAGUCACACUGGAACUGAGACACGGUCCAGACUCCUACGGGAGGCAGCAGUGGGGAAUAUUGGACAAUGGGCGAAAGCCUGAUCCAGCCAUGCCGCGUGUGUGAAGAAGGUCUUCGGAUUGUAAAGCACUUUAAGUUGGGAGGAAGGGCAGUCAGUUAAUACCUUGCUGUCUUGACGUUACCAACAGAAUAAGCACCGGCUAACUUCGUGCCAGCCGCCGCAGUAACAC